CGUCGGCGUGAAGCUCUUCGGGAGUGGAUAGCGGCGGACGGGUGAGUAACACGUGGGUAACCUGCCUCAUAGAGGGGAAUAGCCUUUCGAAAGGAAGAUUAAUACCGCAUAAGAUUGUAGUACCGCAUGGUACAGCAAUUAAAGGAGUAAUCCGCUAUGAGAUGGACCCGCGUCGCAUUAGCUAGUUGGUGAGGUAACGGCUCACCAAGGCGACGAUGCGUAGCCGACCUGAGAGGGUGAUCGGCCACAUUGGGACUGAGACACGGCCCAGACUCCUACGGGAGGCAGCAGUGGGGAAUAUUGCACAAUGGGGGAAACCCUGAUGCAGCAACGCCGCGUGAGUGAUGACGGCCUUCGGGUUGUAAAACUCUGUCUUUGGGGACGAUAAUGACGGUACCCAAGGAGGAAGCCACGGCUA
rnacentral:rRNA from 1 species